rnacentral:rRNA from 1 species
UAGGGAAUCUUCCGCAAUGGGCGAAAGCCUGACGGAGCAACGCCGCGUGAGUGAUGAAGGUCUUCGGAUCGUAAAACUCUGUUAUUAGGGAAGAAUAAAUGUGUAAGUAACUAUGCACGUCUUGACGGUACCUAAUCAGAAAGCCACGGCUAACUACGUGCCAGCAGCCGCGGUAAUACGUAGGUGGCAAGCGUUAUCCGGAAUUAUUGGGCGUAAAGCGCGCGUAGGCGGUUUUUUAAGUCUGAUGUGAAAGCCCACGGCUCAACCGUGGAGGGUCAUUGGAAACUGGAAAACUUGAGUGCAGAAGAGGAAAGUGGAAUUCCAUGUGUAGCGGUGAAAUGCGCAGAGAUAUGGAGGAACACCAGUGGCGAAGGCGACUAUCUGGUCUGUAACUGACGCUGAUGUGCGAAAGCGUGGGGAUCAAACAGG